rnacentral:rRNA from 1 species
AUGAUUCCUUACUCUGAAGAGGAGAUCUUCUCUUCGAUCACUAAAUCGAACCCUAAUUCUGCCUCGGGCCCGGACGGCUUUUCCAUCCCUUUCUUUAAAAAAUUCUGGCCUAUUCUUAAAGAGCUUAUAUGUGUAGUCAUUCAAGGCUAUUGUCUGGGGACAGUAGAUAUAUCCAGGCUCAACUAUGCGGUCAUUUCCCUGAUCCCUAAAAUUAAGGGUGCCGGGCUUAUUUCUUAGCUUAGACCUAUUGCGCUAAUUAAUAACUUCGCCAAAUUCCCUGCCAAGUGUCUGGCCACUCGCCUCACCCCGGUGGCUCAUCGGACCCUCUCCCCUAUUCAGUCGGCUUUUUUCAAGGGUCGCUUCAUCCUGGAUGGGGUCCUCUGCCUGCAUGAAAUUAUCCAUGACAUCCAUAAAUCAGGCAGCAAGGCUGUUAUUCUAAAAUUGGAGUUUGAAAAGGCCUACGAUUCGGUGAGUUGGAGCUUCCUUAAACAAGUCCUACUGGCUAAAGGAUUUUAUAGUGGGGUGGUUCACCGUAUUAUGCAGUUGGUCAUGGGGGGCCAUAUUGCCAUUAAUGUCAAUGGGAAAGUUAGUAAUUUCUUUAAAAACUCUAGAGGCCUCCGGCAAGGCGACCCGGCCUCGCCCAUCCUCUUUAACUUUGUGGCAGACGCUCUUUCUAAUAUCCUAUCUAGAGCCGCGGAGGCCGGCCAUAUCUCUCCUGUUAGCUCACACCUCAUCCCGGAGGGUAUUACUCACCUUCGGUACGCAGACGACACUAUUAUUUUGGUGGAACUGAAUGACCACUGCAUUACCCAUCUCAAAUUUCUGCUCCUUUGCUUCGAAGCUCUCUUGGGUCUUAAGAUCAACUUCUCCAAAAGUGAAGUUAUUGUCACUGGUGUGCCGGGUACCGAGGCCUUACGGGUGGCCCGUCUCUUGAAUUGCUCUCUUGGCUCGUUCCCUAUUAAGUAUUUGGGUUUACCUAUCACCUCUGGCAAGCUCCUUGCUAAAGAUUUUGCUCCUACGGUGGCCAAGGUGGGUAAUCGUGUAAUGCCCUAG